rnacentral:rRNA from 1 species
UACAGAGGGGGCAAGCGUUAUUCGGAAUUAUUGGGCGUAAAGCGCACGUAGGCGGCUUUGCAAGUCCCAUGUGAAAUCCCACGGCUCAACCGUGGAAGUGCAUGGGAAACUGCAGAGCUUGAGUACUUAAGAGGAUCGCGGAAUUCCCGGUGUAGAGGUGAAAUUCGUAGAUAUCGGGAGGAACACCAGUGGCGAAGGCGGCGAUCUGGGAAGAUACUGACGCUGAGGUGCGAAAGCGUGGGGAGCAAACAGG